UGCCUAUUAGCUAGCCCCCUCAACUAAACUUAACAAGUAACCAUAAAUAACCCCAAAAGCACUAAACUUACCUAAACAAAACAUUUUUCCUCCCUAGUAUGGGCGACAGAAAAGGACCUUCGGGCGCAAUAGAACAAGUACCGCAAGGGAAAGCUGAAAGAGAAAUGAAAUAAACCAGUAAAGCUAAGAAAAGCAGAGAUUUUCCCU
rnacentral:rRNA from 1 species